ensembl:lncRNA
UUAGCAAUUUCCCAGCACUGUAGGCAUAGCUCAUCGAGCCGUCUACAGCGCCAUGGAGCCCUGCCACCCCUGCUCCUCGCCGCCCCCUGCACCCAGCAACACGGCACCCGGGGAGAACAGCCGUCUAUAGCUGCUAUCCUCGUUAGUGUAGUGGUGAAUCUUUCUGCCGCCUACCGGGGCUGUAGCCCGUUCCCGGUCGAGGGAGGGUCUACUUCGGGUCGGGUUUGGCGGCCAUUCCCGGCGGGGACAGCAGCAGGACGCGGUGGGUACCUGGGCAGCGGCUGGCUCGGCGGUGAGAUAUCCCGCGGGGAUAACGCUUCGUAUCUUCCUCGUUAAUAUAGUGGUCUGCCAGUAGCUGACAUGGUAGAAAGAUAUGCUAUUCUCUUUCAUUCUUGUGAAGUUAGAGGCAGUGCCGAUUUAAAUUUUGACUGAGGCUCUGCAAUGGUGUGUUGAGGAAUUUUUGAAACAGCAAGGAGGCCAUGACUUGCUGCAGCUGAGCAAACCAAGAUACCAGGACGACUACGAGGAAUUCCCAUGACGAUGUUUUCUUAUCGCCUGACUGAGGAAUUAAAAAUAUUGUUGCAAGCAGCUGGCACUUCCUUCAAGGACUACACUAUGUGACUGCUAAUCACAAAGGAGUUGUUUUCUUCCAGGUGGGGUUGUUUUCUUGCAGUUGUUUGUCUGAGUGCUUUCAACCAAUAAUCUUGUGUGAAACUCUAUCCGCCCCUGCUAAAUUUGCUAUAAGAGUCAGACUAUUUAGGUAAUAAAGAGAGAGCAUGAUAUGACCAUAUUGGUGUGUGUCAUGACUUUGGCCGUUCUUCCUGCAACAAUGGUGUAAUUCUAUCUUACUACUUCAAAUUCAGUGAUGCAACCUGAGUUUACAUUAAUUAACUUUCAAGGAUUCAACCAAUUUAAAGCUUUUGGACAAUGA